rnacentral:rRNA from 1 species
GACGAACGCUGGCGGCGUGCCUAAUACAUGCAAGUAGAACGCUGAAGGAGGAGCUUGCUUCUCUGGAUGAGUUGCGAACGGGUGAGUAACGCGUAGGUAACCUGCCUUGUAGCGGGGGAUAACUAUUGGAAACGAUAGCUAAUACCGCAUAAGAGUAGAUGUUGCAUGACAUUUGCUUAAAAGGUGCAAUUGCAUCACUACCAGAUGGACCUGCGUUGUAUUAGCUAGUUGGUGGGGUAACGGCUCACCAAGGCGACGAUACAUAGCCGACCUGAGAGGGUGAGCGGCCACACUGGGACUGAGACACGGCCCAGACUCCUACGGGAGGCAGCAGUAGGGAAUCUUCGGCAAUGGACGGAAGUCUGACCGAGCAACGCCGCGUGAGUGAAGAAGGUUUUCGGAUCGUAAAGCUCUGUUGUAAGAGAAGAACGAGUGUGAGAGUGGAAAGUUCACACUGUGACGGUAUCUUACCAGAAAGGGACGGCUAACUACGUG